ACCAGACUCCUACGGGAGGCAGCAGUGGGGAAUAUUGCACAAUGGGGGGAACCCUGAUGCAGCGACGCCGCGUGGGUGAAGAAGCGCCUCGGCGCGUAAAGCCCUGUCAGCAGGGAAGAAAAUGACGGUACCUGAAGAAGAAGCCCCGGCUAACUACGUGCCAGCAGCCGCGGUAAUACGUAGGGGGCAAGCGUUAUCCGGAUUUACUGGGUGUAAAGGGGGCGCAGACGGCGAUGCAAGCCAGGAGUGAAAGCCCGGGGCCCAACCCCGGGACUGCUCUUGGAACUGCGUGGCUGGAGUGCAGGAGGGGCAGGCGGAAUUCCUGGUGUAGCGGUGAAAUGCGUAGAUAUCAGGAGGAACACCGGUGGCGAAGGCGGCCUGCUGGACUGCAACUGACGUUGAGGCCCGAAAGCGUGGGGAGCAAACAGGAUUAGAUACCCCGGUAA
rnacentral:rRNA from 1 species